rnacentral:rRNA from 1 species
UACGUAGGACCCAAGCGUUAUCCGGAAUUACUGGGCGUAAAGCGUCUGUAGGCGGCUUUUCAAGUCAAUUGCGAAAUCUUGCGGCUCAACCGUAUAGACUGUAGUUGAAACUGGAUCGCUAGAGGUAGGUAGAGGCAAGUGGAAUUUCUGGUGUAGGAGUGACAUCCGUAGAUAUCAGAAGGAACACCAAUGGCGAAGGCAGCUUGCUGGGCCUUACCUGACGCUCAGAGACGAAAGCGUGGGGAGCGAACGGG